CUGGGGUGGGUGUGGCUGACCUUGGCUGGUGGAUUGGUGGAGGGUGGCUGGUCCCCAGUGGCCUCAGUGAGGACAGCCCUACUGCCCUCCCCAUCUAGCAGGGCACCUGGGCUCACUUCCCUGCUGUAGCCAGAGUCCAAGAUGGCAGGCAGAGGCAUGAAUAUCUCUCAAAGCCCAAUCUCAGGACUGGCCGAACUUGGUUUCUGCAACUUUCACUGGCCAAGUACUCUACCUUUGGGAAGAGCUGUUCCUGUCAGAGCCAAGAUGUGUCGCCAUGGAAACUGCUUGGCAAAUGCUGGCAGGCAGAGGCGGCCAACAGCAGCUUGUGAGCUCCGGGUGCCCGUUGGAGUGACGCUUCAGGAGGGCGUGAACAGGCACGCCCGGCUGUGACAUGUGUGUAGCAAUAGGUGCUGACGAGAAGGGAUGAGGCGGCCACCGUCCCUCCCAGGCCCCUGCCACAUGCAGCCGCUGACCAGGUGCUAGGCCUGGAGGUGCCCAUGCCUUCCCUCAACGUGCUCAGGAGGUGCAGCGCCAGACAGAGCCAUGCCCCAUGUGCC
rnacentral:lncRNA from 1 species